rnacentral:rRNA from 1 species
AACGAACGCUGGCGGCAGGCCUAACACAUGCAAGUCGAGCGCGCCCUUCGGGGUGAGCGGCGGACGGGUGAGUAACGCGUGGGAACGUGCCCUUUUCUACGGAAUAGCCUCUGGAAACUGAGAGUAAUACCGUAUACGCCCUUUGGGGGAAAGAUUUAUCGGAAAAGGAUCGGCCCGCGUUGGAUUAGGUAGUUGGUGGGGUAAUGGCCUACCAAGCCGACGAUCCAUAGCUGGUUUGAGAGGAUGAUCAGCCACACUGGGACUGAGACACGGCCCAGACUCCUACGGGAGGCAGCAGUGGGGAAUCUUAGACAAUGGGGGCAACCCUGAUCUAGCCAUGCCGCGUGAGUGAUGAAGGCCUUAGGGUUGUAAAGCUCUUUAAGCUGGGAAGAUAAUGACGGUACCAGCAGAAGAAGCCCCGGCUAACUCCGUG